CGAGCGGACGGGUGAGUAACACGUGGGUAACCUACCUAUAAGACUGGGAUAACUUCGGGAAACCGGAGCUAAUACCGGAUAACAUUUGGAACCGCAUGGUUCUAAAGUGAAAGAUGGUUUUGCUAUCACUUAUAGAUGGACCCGCGCCGUAUUAGCUAGUUGGUAAGGUAACGGCUUACCAAGGCGACGAUACGUAGCCGACCUGAGAGGGUGAUCGGACACACCGGAACUGAGACACGGUCCAGACUCCUACGGGAGGCAGCAGUAGGGAAUCUUCCGCAAUGGGCGAAAGCCUGACGGAGCAACGCCGCGUGAGUGAUGAAGGCUUUCGGCUCGUAAAACUCUGUUAUUAGGGAAGAACAAAUGUGUAAGUAACUGUGCACAUCUUGACGGUACCUAAUCAGAAAGCCACGGCUAACUACGUGCCAGCAGCCGCGGUAAUACGUAGGUGGCAAGCGUUAUCCGGAAUUAUUGGGCGUAAAGCGCGCGUAGGCGGUUUCUUAAGUCUGAUGUGAAAGCCCACGGCUCAACCGUGGAGGGUCAUUGGAAACUGGGAAACUUGAGUGCAGAAGAGGAAAGUGGAAUUCCAUGUGUAGCG
rnacentral:rRNA from 1 species